GUCUUAUUGUAGAUUAAUAAUAGGUCUAACCUGCUCACUGAGUAAUUAAAGAGCCGCAGAAUUUUACUGUGCUAAGGUAGCAUAAUAAUUUGUUUUUUAAUUGGAAUCUUGAAUGAAAGGUUUAACGUGGAUAAGAUUGUCUCUAUAAAAUAUAAUGAAUUUAAAAUAUAAGUAAAAAUGCUUAUAUAAGUUAUAGGGACGAGAAGACCCUAUAAAUCUUAAUUUUUAUAUUAAGUGAAUUUAUGAAAAUAAACUUUUUAUUUAUUUAAAAAUUUAGUUGGGGCAAUUUUAAAGAAAAUUUUAAUUGAAAUAAAAUUUAUAUUGAAAGAAAUGUUGAUUAUAAGAAUUGAUAUAGAAGAAAAAGUUACUUUAGGGAUAACAGCGUAAUAUUAGUUAAUAAGUUCAUAUUAGCAAUUUAGCUUACGACCUCGAUGUUGAAUUAAGGUUUACCUUCUAUGAAAGGAGUGAAGACUUAGAACUGUUCGUCUAUUGGUAAAUCU
rnacentral:rRNA from 1 species